UUCCUGCUCUGGAGCAUGAGCUCAGACCUUGCCAGGCCUGGUGGUCCUGCUGUGCUCCACAGGCCCAGCCUGAAUCAGGGCUCUAGGGCUUGGCUCCUUGAGUCCUGCAGGGCCCCUCUCCUCUACUCUCUGAGCACCUUCUCUGUGCCAGCAUGGCUGCAUGGGGUAUUCCCUUUAUUCCACACACUUUCAAGGGGCAGGGAUUUUGGUCUACUGCAUCCCAAGAACAUGGACUGGCACAUCGCAAGCACUCAUCAAAUGAUCCCUGAAUAAAUGAGUGCCCACUCAGGCUCCCUGGGUGCCUCUGGGAAAGCCUUUGGGUUCCACUUCCCGCCUCUUACCUGAACUGCAAUUACCUGACAUCACCAUGCUGUGAGAAGCCCAAACCAUGUGGGGGAGCCCCGGAGGGUAUGACAUCACUUGGAGAGAGAGGUCAAGAAGUACUGAGACCUUGUCCUGUGAGUGAUGAAGCCAGCCUGGCACAGAAGCAAAGAUAAACCAUCUCGCUGAGCCCUUCUUGAAUUCCUCACCUACAAAAUUAUGAAUAAAAUAAAAUGGUGGUAAGCAUUGA